rnacentral:rRNA from 1 species
UAUUGCACAAUGGGCGCAAGCCUGAUGCAGCCAUGCCGCGUGUGUGAAGAAGGCCUUCGGGUUGUAAAGCACUUUCAGUCAGGAGGAAAGGUUAGUAGUUAAUACCUGCUAGCUGUGACGUUACUGACAGAAGAAGCACCGGCUAACUCCGUGCCAGCAGCCGCGGUAAUACGGAGGGUGCGAGCGUUAAUCGGAAUUACUGGGCGUAAAGCGUACGCAGGCGGUUUGUUAAGCGAGAUGUGAAAGCCCCGGGCUCAACCUGGGAACUGCAUUUCGAACUGGCAAACUAGAGUGUGAUGGAGGGUGGUAGAAUUUCAGGUGUAGCGGUGAAAUGCGUAGAGAUCUGAAGGAAUACCGAUGGCGAAGGCAGCCACCUGGGUCAACACUGACGCUCAUUACGAAA